rfam:Pelistega indica strain HM-7 Contig19, whole genome shotgun sequence.
AGUAGGUACUCUGGAGAGACUUGUUAGCAAGCGCCGAAGGUGAUUUAAAACUCUCAGGCACCAGGACAGAGGGGUGAAU